UUUUAUAUGUAAUAUUAGUUCAUCUUUAAUUGUAAAAAAAAUUGGUCAAUAUUAAUAUUACUUUGCACUUUGAAUGAUUGUGUUUUUCUGAACUAUGUGUUCAGUGAUUAUGUUAGGGUAAGAGAUUGGUCUUAUAUAUGUGAUGGCCUAUAUUGAGUUUGGUAGAGCUUUAUUUGUGUCAAUUUAAUUAUAUUGUUAGUUAUAGAUGUUCAAUGUUUUUGGAUUGUGUUUUAUUGCUUGAAUUGUAGUUUAGAUGAGUUAUUAUUCUGUUCUAUUUUAAGGUUUUUUUUCUAUUCUUGUGAUGGGCGUUUUGUGAUUGUUAAGGCUUUUUCUAUUUAUGUGAAGAGCUUGUUGAGAUUGUUAAGGCUUUACGUGUAUAAAUGAAUGUUUCAAUCUAUAUGUGGAAAUGUUUCUUAGUAUAAAUAUAUUUGUGGUUCUGUAAAAUGAUUCUGUGUCGCUCGCAAUUUGGAAUAAUAUUUGCUUGCUUCUUAAACAUAACAUUCAUGAAUUUUUUUUACUCUGUUGGAGACUCAUUUAUCGUUGUAAGAAAUAUCCACUUUGUUCUCCUAUAUUAAGAGUCUGCUAUAUCUGCUCCCACCAUCCCCAUCAGUAUCUACUUUUUAUACUUCCUUAAUAUGGCCCAAGAUAGGAAACCAGUGCCACAAUUCAUAGAAGCAAAUUGACAUACUUAUUAGUUAUUAACAUGCUUUGGUUAAAUUUGGAAGCCACAAGUUAGCUUUGCAAUAUAGGGAUUGUAGAUUUUGAUGUGGAUAAUUUUGUUUACUCAGAAACAUGCCAUUGAUACUCAACUGGGUGGAAGGUUUAAUGUACAAGCAUAUUAUUUCUGCAGGGACCUUGGUAUUUUGUUUAGCUCAGUCUUGCGCUGGUCGGGUCAUGGCUCAAAUUCAUCAUGUACUAACUGCUUGUUAUUUAUUGCUGCAGGGACCUUGGUAACACAAAUUUGUCUGGUGUUUUGGUACUUGAUCUCGGAAAACUCUAAUAUAUCCAAUAUCUGGCUGAUGCAUUUAAAUGGAAAGGUAGGUAAAUGAAUUAAAGAAGAGGGCAGAAGAAACCAAGAUUGAUCUUCUUACCAACCAAGUGGUUAUUAUUAAAGAAAGGUCCAAUAUGCCUGUAGAUGUUACCAUUUAUUGUAUGUAUUUUAGGUAUUUAUAUAUUUGGGAUUUGCCACCCUCAAGGGAAAUAUUUGUGGAUAUUAGAUGGUAUAUGUGAUUUGGUUGUAGCCCUGGUUAUUAGUACGUAAUGAAAAGUUUUGUUUACUAA